GCUAAGCUGUGACCUAUAGUAAGGCAUAAUUUGAUUGACAGUUUAAAAAUUCCUUUAAUCCAGGGGAAGAUGUUUUUUUUUUUUUCUUUUUUACCAUUGACAUAAUCAGGAAAUUAAAUCAUUGAUCUUAGCGCCAAAGAUAACAAGUUAGUCAUCGAUUGAGAGGAACUUCAAAUUAGACGUAUAAUUUAUUCAACAGAUUUGGACAAUUAAAGUAUUCACAGACAGUCGAUUUGGGGCCUUAAUUGAAUAAAUACAAUAGCUUUAGGACUAAACAAUGACGUUGUGCAGAAACGAUAUUUGUUUGCAGCCCGUGUACAAUUAUGUAGAGACAGACUGCGUAUUUCUACAUUCCAUUAUUUCCAAUUUUCCUUUAGUCCUGUAUACCUGGUUGGCACAUACUGCUACUGAGCGAUUUUAUUUGUACUUCGAUAGCUCAUUCUCAAUUUUCGGGAAUAUUUGAAUAUACAAUUACAAAGUUGCAUUUGGUAGGUCGAACCAUAGAUUUUGAGUAGAUCAGCAUUACCACAAUUGAUGAUAUCAAUUAUUUUCCUUUCAAUGUGUCCUUUAAGGUAGAGACCGAUAGCAACCACGUGAUCAGUAAAAAUCGUGUAUUUUCACGUGAAAUUAUUUUUCGGAAUUCCGUACAUCGCCAUAGAGUAGUUGAAAAACAAAAGGGGGUUCCGAAAGUACAAGUUGCUGUGACUGAAUCGAUGAUUGAGAGGGUCGUCUCGACGAAAGAUAUAGAAAUUUGGCCAUAGUUUAGAUUAGGAAUACGUCAAUGUAAUAAUAGUGGACUACAUGUUUCGUCCGUGCAGAAUGGCACUUUUUACCUCACGAAAUUCACCACCAUGCAUAGCUGCGCUACGUAAACAAAGUUGUUGAUGUAGCGUGAUCGUGGUGUCCGAGUGCUGCGAGUUUCAAUACUGUUUAUGUAGUCAUUGAGAGUUUAAACAAAGUUUCUUCUGAGAAGAGGAAUUCGAUGGAUGCAUUCAACGUGGACAACGAAAUCAUAAUUUCGUUUGCUUCAUCCUAAGGACCAGUGCAAGUUGAAAUGGGCUUCCAGCCAACAACUUCAACAGCAAUUUGCCAUGAAAAUCAGCAAGAAAGGUACUUCAUUUACAUUGAUGAUGUCAUAUCCCCUGGACCCCACAACUUCACAGGUUACAGAGAAAAUUCAAGAACUUCUGCAAAAUGUGGGACUUGGAUAGAAUCAAUAAUGUAUUUGUGAGCCCAGAGCAAUGGAUAUAUUGUGCAACAUACUAAAGUGUGAAUUUAAUGGAAAACAAGUACAUGUACUCAUGUAUUACAUGUCUUUUUUAAAGACAAUAAUAUUGUAUAAAUAUAGAGGAAGUGUCAUUGUUGAUUAUUCUAAGUUUUUGAUAUAUCAAAAUCAGUAAACAUUUCUAAAUGAAAAUAAAAUACCAAUUUUAUAACUUUAA